UACCCGCAGCACAAGUGGUGGUCAUUAUUAUUGGGCCUAAAGCGUCCGUAGCUGGCUUGUUAGAUGCCUGGGUAAAUCGAUGCGCUCAACGUAUCGAAUUCCGGGUAGACCGGCAAGCUCGAGACCGGGAGAGGCGUGAGCUACUCAAGGGGUAGGGGUAAAAUCCUGUAAUCCUUUGGGGAGGACCAGUGGCGAAGGCGUCACGCUAGAACGGCUCUGACAGUGAGGGACGAAGCCCUGGGGAGCAAACCGG
rnacentral:rRNA from 1 species